rfam:Triticum aestivum genome assembly, contig: Triticum_aestivum_CS42_TGACv1_scaffold_224283_3B
CGAAUACUCCCUCCAUUCGAAAUUACUUGUCGCUCAAACGGGUGUAUCUAGCUCUAAAAUAGUGUUAGAUACAUCCGUUUGAGCUACAAGUAAUUCCGGACGUAGGGAGUAUAAG